rnacentral:snoRNA from 1 species
UGACCAAUGAUGAGAGAACGUCAUAAACCCAAGAUUAUAAUUAAUCCAAUUUUGUGUGUUUAAGGUUCAGA